rnacentral:lncRNA from 1 species
GGGCAGCAGGACCACGUGGCUGGCAAGGAGCUGUUUAGGGCUGAGAGCCAGGCACCUAAUGUUGGUGCCCUGUCCCAUCCCAUCGAGGACACGCGGCCUUAUGGAGUCCCCGUGGGACGGGGCAGCCACCUUUUCUCAGGAUCCAGGAGACUGACGUGGCCACAUGCAGAAAUGAGCAAGGAGGCCACAGAGGCUUAAAAUGCUUUAAGAAACAAUUCUAAGUUUCAGCAACUUGUUAUCCCAUCUGCUUCCUCCUUUGCAACCACCUGUGGAGUGGAGAGACAAGGCAGGGAAGCAGCACCUUGCCCUUCAAGCUUUCAUUUCCUCCCCACCAGAAACUGGGAAGGGGUGGGCGGGGGUCUGUGAUGAGUAGACUUCACCCUUUCGGUCUUCAGACAUGGCUGUCCACUCCUUGCCUGUCCCCACAGCUCUUCCUGCAGACUCUUUUUUCCCGAGGAUCCUGUUAAGAUUGUCCGGGCCCAAGGGCAGUACAUGUACGAUGAACAGGGGGCAGAAUACAUCGAUUGCAUCAGCAAUGUGGCACACGUUGGGCACUGCCACCCUCUCGUGGUCCAAGCAGCACAUGAGCAGAACCAGGUGCUCAACACCAACAGCCGGUACCUGCAUGACAACAUCGUGGACUAUGCGCAGAGGCUGUCAGAGACCCUGCCGGAGCAGCUCUGUGUGUUCUAUUUCCUGAAUUCUGGGUAAGUGGACUGUGGCCAGCCCCCGGGAAGAGGGUGAGACGGUAACAAAGACAGUCACUCAUAUG